GAUCAACGCUGGCGGCGUGCUUAACACAUGCAAGUCGAACGAAGUUUUUCCUUCGGGAGCAACUUAGUGGCGGACGGGUGAGUAACGCGUGGGUAACCUGCCCUGUACAGGGGGACAACAGCUGGAAACGGCUGCUAAUACCGCAUAAGCCCUUAGCACUGCAUGGUGCAUAGGGAAAAGGAGCAAUCCGGUACAGGAUGGACCCGCGUCUGAUUAGCCAGUUGGCAGGGUAACGGCCUACCAAAGCGACGAUCAGUAGCCGAUCUGAGAGGAUGUACGGCCACAUUGGGACUGAGACACGGCCCAGACUCCUACGGGAGGCAGCAGUGGGGAAUAUUGCACAAUGGAGGAAACUCUGAUGCAGCGACGCCGCGUGAGUGAAGAAGUAUUUCGGUAUGUAAAGCUCUAUCAGCAGGGAAGAAAAUGACGGUACCUGACGAAGAAGCACCGGCUAAAUACGUG
rnacentral:rRNA from 1 species